rnacentral:lncRNA from 1 species
AGGCAAUGUUCUUAAGCGCGGCGGCCGGGAGCACCCAAGGGUGCGAGGGCCCAGUCUGUGGGCGCUGUGUGGCACCAUUCACAGCAAGUCCAUCUUGGGUCUGUAGUGCAGCAGGAGCGGCGCCUUCUGGAAGACACAAGAACGCACAGUGCCUGCUUAGCAGGGGUGGAGGCGAGAAGGACCUACUUCAUCGGGAAGGGUGCUGAGGAAUC